AACGAACGCUGGCGGCAUGCCUAACACAUGCAAGUCGAACGAUCCCUUCGGGGAUAGUGGCGCACGGGUGCGUAACGCGUGGGAACCUGCCCUUAGGUUCGGAAUAACUCAGAGAAAUUUGAGCUAAUACCGGAUAAUGUCUUCGGACCAAAGAUUUAUCGCCUUUGGAUGGGCCCGCGUUGGAUUAGCUAGUUGGUGGGGUAAAGGCCUACCAAGGCGACGAUCCAUAGCUGGUCUGAGAGGAUGAUCAGCCACACUGGGACUGAGACACGGCCCAGACUCCUACGGGAGGCAGCAGUGGGGAAUAUUGGACAAUGGGCGAAAGCCUGAUCCAGCAAUGCCGCGUGAGUGAUGAAGGCCUUAGGGCUGUAAAGCUCUUUUACCCGGGAUGAUAAUGACAGUACCGGGAGAAUAAGCCCCGGCUAACUCCGUG
rnacentral:rRNA from 1 species